rnacentral:rRNA from 1 species
GACAGAGGUCCCGAGCGUUAGGCGGAAUCACUGGGCUUAAAGCGUGUGUAGGCGGAUUUGUAAGUACCUUGUGAAAUCCCACGGCUUAACCGUGGAACUGCUUGGUAUACUGCUUAUCUUGGGCCACUUAGGGGUUACCGGAACAAACGGUGAAGCGGUGAAAUGCGUAGAUAUCGUUUGGAACGCCAAUGGUGAAAACAGGUAACUGGGAGUGUGCCGACGCUGAGAUACGAAAGCCAGGGGAGCGAACGGG